rnacentral:rRNA from 1 species
AUUGAACGCUGGCGGCAUGCCUUACACAUGCAAGUCGAACGGCAGCACGGGAGCAAUCCUGGUGGCGAGUGGCGAACGGGUGAGUAAUACAUCGGAACGUGUCCUGUAGUGGGGGAUAGCCCGGCGAAAGCCGGAUUAAUACCGCAUACGCUCUACGGAGGAAAGGGGGGGAUCUUAGGACCUCUCGCUACAGGGGCGGCCGAUGGCAGAUUAGCUAGUUGGUGGGGUAAAGGCCUACCAAGGCGACGAUCUGUAGCUGGUCUGAGAGGACGACCAGCCACACUGGGACUGAGACACGGCCCAGACUCCUACGGGAGGCAGCAGUGGGGAAUUUUGGACAAUGGGCGCAAGCCUGAUCCAGCAAUGCCGCGUGUGUGAAGAAGGCCUUCGGGUUGUAAAGCACUUUUGUCCGGAAAGAAAACUUCUGCCCUAAUACGGCGGGAGGAUGACG